AAAGAGAAAAGAAGAACAAUCCACUGUUUCUCUAAAUUCAUUCCAUAAUCAAAACUUUUCUUUGGUUGAUGAUUCCUUGAGCUUUUCUUGGUUUUCAAUAGUCUCUCAUUGUGCUUACGCAGACGGAAACCGAAACAUGGUGUUUCACGCAGUAUCCGAAACAACCGAGACGCCACCGGCGCCGGCGCAACCGCCGGCCAUGGCCUCCUCCGCCUUCGCUCCGAAGCCCCAGAAUCUCCAUGGCUUUGCUUUCUCCGACUUCAAGUGGCCAGUCAACCACUCUACCACCAAGCAACACCACCACCGGUUCCGAAACAGGCUCGCCCACUCGGAGCCCCGACCGAAUUGUUCUCCCGUGGUCAAUGAAGAUGAUCGUCAUCAUCGCCGGGUGGGCCGGAAACUCGCCAAGUCGGCUCGGUCUGCUGACUAUGAGCCUCGGCUCGGUUCUCCGCUGAAGAACGAUUACCACCAGGUCAGUAAGCUCGGCGGUUCGACUCGGAAGGAUUUUGGGUCAGAGAAUCGGAAUGAUCCUUUGUGUGACGGUUUUAAGAAACCGGGUUUUCCUGAGCCUCCGAAGGAAAACUCGGAGAAGAAGUCAACGAACCCUGGCCGUGAGAUCGAGAAAUCGACGGCAUCCGAUGUGAAAUCGAAGAUAUUCAUUCGUAUCCGAACCAAAAGCAAGUCCGAAGCUGAUGCUGGCGACGAUGGAGCCGCAGAAGCACCGGAUCAAACCUCAGCUGCGGCCGUGCCGGAAUCCGAUGAACCGGCGCCAAAGAAGUGGAAUCUCCGGCCAAGAAAACCGGCGCCGAAGCGUCCCAACGCAGACGGAGGAGCACCGGAAGCUGCUGGAGCGCCGGCGCAGGAUACCAAAACCCAGCCUCUGGGUCACGCCGAACCGUCUCGGGCCCGAAACGGAACGGACGCGAAAGUUUCGGAGAAGAGACCGAAACUUUCGAUUUCGCUUUCGAAGGAAGAGAUCGAAGAGGAUAUCUUCGUGCUCACGGGCUCCAAGCCCGCCAGAAGGCCCAAGAAGCGAGCUAGGAACGUUCAGAACCAGCUCGAUAAUGUUUUUCCGGGAUUGUGGUUGGGUUCUAUUACGGUGGAGACAUACAAGGUCACUGAUGCUCCUCGGCAGGGUUAAAUAAGACUCGUGCUAAUUUAUGGUUCUUUGACUGUUUGUUGGAACGUUGAAAGCUUUGUGACUGCGACUGAGGACCCCUUUUGACAUCAAUGGAAGUUUCAGCUGGAAUCUACGUACCUAGCUAUGAGGAAGCAAUUUGACACAAUGAUCAAGAUUAAUUUUCCAAAAGCAGAGGAGCAGCUGCCACACAAGAGUGGAGCUAUUCUCAGCUCAAAUGGUGUUGAGUGGUGAUGCUAGUUAAUAUGAAAUGUUGGCCAUUUUCAACUUAUAAGACAGUUGAGAGCUGGUGCAAAAUGGUACUUCUCUCUCCACUGGCUGCAUUCUGGAAAUCAGAAGUGGAAGUGAAUGGCAAAAAUAGAGUAAUGCUAAAAACUACUUUUAUCCUACCAUUAUUUUACUUGGAUGACGUGGUAGUGGUAAUUAACUAUUUUAUAUAU